rfam:Gossypium arboreum cultivar AKA8401 contig_111189_1, whole genome shotgun sequence.
AACCCAUGAGGAGGGCACCUUCUCAACAGAUCCUUGAAUCUCUCUCAUGCAUCAUAUAAUAUCUCUAAAUCAAUUUGAGCAAAAAAAGAGAUGUUGUUCCUCAACUU